UUUUUGUAUGGUUCCGCUGGCUCUUUCGGUUCUUCCUGCUCUAUAUUUUGUUGAACAGGAGUAGCAUUUAUGGGUUUGUUCUUUUUUUUUUUUUGGCUCUGUAUAAACUGCCCCGUUAUUAUCUUCUCCAGAGGAUAGAUCUUCAACUAAUUUAUCCCAUUUUUCGUUUGUAGUGGAUGGGCCAGAGACAUUAUGAUGGUCUUUUGUUAACCAGGUCUCCAAUAUUUUACUUUUAAAUUAGUAACAGUUGAAAUGUUGUUUGUGUGAUGCUAAAUGUCCAGUGACAAAUAUUUCGUGAAUGC
rnacentral:lncRNA from 1 species